UUGGUUACAGAUUCUGCAAGAAAUGCUCACUGAUGAGAAGUAUAGAUUGAGCUGUUGAACCUUGCCAGGAAAUGUCAAUAAUGCAGCCCAAUUCAGAGUAAUGGAAGAAUCUCUGAUGAAAUCUCUUUAUUCACAUUGAGAACACUAGAGGCAUCACUGUCAGCGGUUACCUAAUCAUGGCAAUAUAUGGGAGCUAGUGAAGAUCU